rnacentral:rRNA from 1 species
AGCAGGCGCGUAAAUUGCCCGAAUCCUGACACAGGGAGGUAGUGACAAGAAAUAACAAUACAGGGCUACAUCUAGUCUUGUAAUUGGAAUGAGUACAAUUUACAUCUCUUAACGAGGAUCAAUUGGAGGGCAAGUCUGGUGCCAGCAGCCGCGGUAAUUCCAGCUCCAAUAGCGUAUAUUAAAGUUGUUGCAGUUAGAACGCUCGUAGUCGGAUUUCGGGGCGGGCCGACCGGUCUGCCGAUGGGUACGCACUGGUCGGCGCGUCCUUCCUUCCGGAGACCGUGCCUACUCUUAACUGAGCGGGGGCGGGAGACGGAAUUUUUACUUUGAAAAAAUCAGAGUGUUUCAAGCAGGCAGCUCGCUCUUGCAUGGAUUAGCAUGGGAUAAUGAAAUAGGACUUUGGUGCUAUUUUGUUGGUUUUGAACACCGAAGUAAUGAUGAGAAGGGACAGUCAGGGGCACUCGUAUUCCGCCGAGAGAGGUGAAAUUCUCAGACCAGCGGAAGACGAACCACUGCGAAAGCAUUUGCCAGGGAUGUUUUCACUGAUCAAGAACGAAAGUUAGGGGAUCGAAGACGAUCAGAUACCGUCGUAGUCUUAACCAUAAACCAUGCCGACUAGGGAUUGGAGGAUGUUCUAUCUUGACUCCUUCAGCACCUUACGGGAAACUAAAGUCUUUGGGUUCCGGGGGGAGUAUGGUCGCAAGGCUGAAACUUAAAGGAAUUGACGGAAGGGCACCACCAGGUGUGGAGCCUGCGGCUUAAUUUGACUCAACACGGGGAAACUUACCAGGUCCAGACAUUGUGAGGAUUGACCGAUUGAGAGCUCUUUCUUGAUUCGAUGGGUGGUGGUGCAUGGCCGUUCUUAGUUGGUGGAGUGAUUUGUCUGGUUAAUUCCGUUAACGGACGAGACCUUAGCCUGCUAAAUAGUGACGCGAACACUUCGUUCGUGGACCACUUCUUAGAGGGACAACUUGUCUUCAACAAGUGGAAGUUUGAGGCAAUAACUGGUCUGUGAUGCCCUUAGAUGUUCUGGGCCGCACGCGCGCUACACUGAUGCACCCAACGAGUCUCCACCUUGACCGAAAGGUCCGGGAAACCUUCGAACUUGCAUCGUGAUGGGGAUAGAUUAUUGCAACUAUUAAUCUUCAACGAGGAAUACCUAGUAGGCGCAUGUCAUCAGCGCGCGUUGA